AGAUAUCACUGUUUUGUUAUCCCCGACCAAUAACAUAAUGACAUGUGGAAAAGUUAUCUGACGUGUUAUUAUGUUAUUGGUCGGGAAUAACAAAAAGUGUUUUUCC
rnacentral:pre_miRNA from 1 species